GCAGGAUGGACCUGUGCAGCUGUAUUUGUGCAAGUGCUGUGGAUGAUCGCAAUGUGCAUUGAUGAGACUGAAGAUCUGGAUCUGACCUUUAAAAAGAUGUUGUAUGUGUUUGGAUCAGUCGGUGUUGUUUUACUGAACUCUGUUACACUGAUGACUGAACUGAUACUGAAAGCAGUCAACAGUGAGCGUACAGUGGGGGAUCUGAGAGUUGUCGUCUUCUCCUCUGAAAGUCUCCUUGUCUUUUCUCUGCUGAUUUU